CAGAAAACGAUCCAGCACACAAAGAGAUGGUUUCAUGAUACAGGUUCCAGCUAAAGCCGAAGAUGCCCUGAUUCACAUUAAAUGUGGAGCCUGGAAAGGAAGCUGGCUCUGGGCCGCCUGCUGCCGCCAGGAGCCUCGCUGCUGCAGGAUGGCGACAGAUUUGUGAUUAAACAGCCACUUUGUCAUCUGAGAAGGACAUAAUGCAUCAACACAGCCAGCGAUCACCGCUCUGUCUGCCGGCACCUCAGCUGCACUUUGCUCUUCCAUCACCACCCCCCUGCCUUCAUUUAGCACCUCUCGGUCCGUCGUGAUGCACCUCAACUCAUCCACAGCUGCUGCUUGGCAAAGAGAUGCUGCAUCUGCCUGGUGGAGGAAAAUAUUACAGAUACAACAAGCAGCACAGUAACUGGAGACCAGUGUAAAGGUUUAGUCCCCAG